ensembl:lncRNA
AUGGAUGGGAUGGCUGUUGGCAUGAUGCCCGGGACCGUCCGGGUGCGGUGUGGGCCGCUUCAAGUGAUGCUGAACCAGCAGAAAACCAAAGCUCGGCGGAAAAAGCGAAAGGAUUUGCUCGGUGUGCAGAUGUGCUUCAUUGGGGUGCUGCUCGUGCUUGUAAUGGGGCUCUCGUGUUUGGCGGAGAAAGCAGGAUAUGACCUCUCAAGCAUUACUACUGAGGAGGGUGCCGGGUGGGCGACUCGAAGGCUACUACAGGAAUCCUGGGACAACGAGACAGACCCUCUGUUGGGCCCCCCGUCCAAAAACUGCACUGAGCCAGGUAGGUCAGGCCUCGAUUUGGAAGUUGAGAUUCAUGUUUUUUUGCCAGAUUGGUGUAACUAUUUAGCCAACAGGUAAGAUUCCAGGUAGGUCUUGUCCUAAAACCUAAUACGGUGGGGAAGUCUGAUACACACACACACACAACACACACAUCUCCUAUUCCCACAAUUACAAAGUGUAUGUUUACAGACAUGCCUGCUAUAUUGCAACCUGUGUUUUCCUGCAGUGGCUGAAAUGUGUUUGGUGUCGUUUUCCCCGUCUCUGUAAAACCAAUUGCUCAGAUAGCAGGAAGUGAGAGAUUCUGUUGAAGAUUCAAAUUGAAGCUUCAGAAUGAGUGUACAUGGCACUCCUAUGGGGAAGACCGGAGGGAUUCCUGGAGGAUAUACUGUAGGGAAGACUGGAGUACAGAUGAAAGAAAAGAAAGUACCAGUUGAGAAUUCAGAUACACAUGGCAGACGGGGAUAGUGUUUUAGGUAGUGCUGUGAUUAGGGAAUGUUUGGUAAUGAUUCAUUGUCAUGCAAAUUACCAUGGUUAAUGUCAUAAUUGUAAUGUUGGAAAAAUGUUUGAGCUUGUAAUGCAAUAUUGUAAUAAACACGAUGGGAGAGAGAGCUGUUUUCACACGCAGGGCGCAGCAGGUGUUUAUUUGUAAAGGACCACAGGAGGAGGCAGGUAGCUGGGUCCAGGGGCAGGCAGAAGGUCAUAAACAGGGGGUCCAAAAAGGCAACAGUACAGGCAGGGAAAAGGCUAGUAACGUCGUCUGGGAGAUCAGGUAAUAGGUUGAUAACAGGAAAUCCGAUAGGCUAAAGUACAGGGAGAGAAUAGGCAAAAGACAUCAUUAGUGAGGCAGGCAAAACUAUCAUACAUGGGAGGAUUAAAUUACAGGAAACCCAGCACUCCGACUAGAAGUGUGUCACAAAACAAACAAUACCUCACAAUGAUGGGGUGCAAAGAACUGAACUAAAUAGUGUGUGAUAAUGACAUACAGGUGUAUGAACAGGUGAUCAGAAUUCACGUGAUUGGGAUCUGGAGCGUGAGCUGCGUUCAGGGGAUCUAUGUGUUUGGGAGUGUGAGCUGGAAGCAGACGUUACAAUUCUAAUGCAUAUUUAAAUAUUAGCUACAACACAGGGGUGACACCCCAAUCUUAAACAAUAGAUUUGACCACUUUUGGAAAUGAAGCUGACUGUCGUUCUGCUCAUAAACUUUUCCCACUUCAUGUAAAGCAAAAAUACUAUAGGGUAAGGGUAAACUAUAUCUACUUGAAUAUAAUGUUGAAUCCCCAUUUCUCCUAACCUGAAUGUAUGAAGAUGAUUGACUAUUCAAUUUUUUUAGUUUGAUUAUUGUCCAUAAUUGACAGUUAUACGAUUUAAACGAUAAUUCUGCCUUCCCUAUUUUUACACAUUAUUCUAUCAAUAUUAUUGCUGUUUGAGCUUUAAUGGCACUUGGUGUGUUUGCAUUGCCCGUGGGUGAGUUGGCGUGUGUGUUUUUUCCGUGGGCGUGUGUGUUUUUCUGGGCACUUGUGUGUUUUUCUGGGCCCUUGUGUGUGAGGGUUUUCCAUGUGGAAUCCUGGGGUUUAACGAGACUGCGUUCCUGCCAAGCAUUCUCUUGAUCUCACUGUUAACACACCACCUCCCAAAUCUCGCCCCUGUCCUAGAAGCAACACACACACAGACACCAACCAAACACACACCUAAGUCAAACACACUCAAUCACUCACUCACACAGAUGCGCAUACGCAACUCUUUACCCUACACUCUGAGAUAAAAAGGCUUCCAACGGGUUCUUCGGCUGUCCCCAUAGGAUAACCCUUUGAAGGGCCCUUUUUGGUUCCAGGAAGAACUAUUUUGGGUUCCAUGUAGAACCUCUGGGGAAAGGGUUAUCCUAUGGGGACAGCUGAAGAACCCUUUUAAGUUCUAG